UGAAUUGUAACUUGCGAAGACUUUGGUUCUGAUAGAAGAGUUUUCCUUGGAAUAAAAUUGUUAACAACCUUUUUCUAUAGCAUGCUAAUUUUGCCUCUUUCUCUUUCUUCCGUCUCACUUCCUCUCUCUCAAGGAAGACAAUGGGGGAUGCACGGGAGGACGUUGACCUUAGCCGGCCUCUUUCUGCGCCUUGUUCGCCUCCGCGCGUGGAUUGCAGGAUAUUAUUGGUGUACCCGCAGCGGGUCGUUCUGGUUCUUCUGCAGUUACGCAUGGAAGGCGAGGCAGGCCUCCGUCUCGUGGGCGUGGGCCCAGUGGUGGACGCCCCGGCCGGACUCUUCUCCUGCUGCUGUGUGUGGAGGGCCAUGGCGCGGGCGUUUGGGGCUAGAAGAUUUCUGGUGUUGCUGCAGUUGUUGGGAUAGCUUGCUUCCUCAGUUGCUUUGGAAUUUGAUUGAAAGGUGUUGUAAUUUGAAUUGAAGUGGUUCGUCCUGAUGGAAGAGUGGGUUUUCAUUGCUUUAUCUGUUUUAGUUUGAGUAUAUGCAGUCCUUCUGACAGGCAAACCAAGCACUUGAUUGUUGUGGGGCCAGCCGCACCUGAUUGGUUUCUCUGUCAGCGUCGUCCCUUUUAGAGGCGAGAUGCUCAUCUUCAGAUAGGAGAAAGGAAAUAUACUAAUGUAGAUUAUUCUAUGUUUAUAUUUACUUUGCUCACUCUCUCUGAAAUUACUCUGUUGUUUUAGCAACCAAUGCCAAAGUUUACAUAUUAAAACAUGGAUUGGCAUUGGACAAUUGUCAUGCUCAGUUGACGCAUUUUACCAUCUUCCUAUAUUUAGUUAUAUACGUGUUUUAUCUCGAUUCAUUAUACCUCGCAUUUCUUGCAGUAUGUGUAUGUAGUGUUUGGUAGAAUAAAUUGAGUAUGCAUAGAGAUCUCAAAAUUGAGUCUGUCGACCGAGGCCCCCACCGGUACAAAACCACCCCAAAUCGAGGAGGCUCUCCGGUCUCCAGUCGCGCAGCGUGCUGCUGCUCUCUCUUCUCACACGCAGCUGCUGGCCUGCUAGCUCACCUCUUUGUAAGACUAUUGCUUUUGUGGCCUUUGUACAAACAAAAUCACGGAGACUCCGCCAGGAGCGCGCCAUCCUCCUCCAGUACCGCCUCCAGACCGAGCGAGAAGGCGGCGCACAGCACCCAAGCGAGGAGAAGACGCAGCGGCAUAUCAAUACGAGCACAAUCCAACUGCUCGAGCUUGCCGUCCAGCUUGAAGAACUCUGCACAUACCUCAUCAGCAGUCUCUGCAGCGAGCUCCGCUCCGGGCACUCGCUGGCCGGUGCUGAAGCCAAUGCGCCAGCAGCUCUGUACAGGCUCCUGAAGCAACUUGAAGGUUACAAGGAAGAUUAUAUAGGGCCCUUAUUCUUGGUGUACAUGGAAGAUGUACACGACACGAGUGCAGGUUUAGGUGCAGCUGUGCAGGCAUGAUCGACCUGCUUAUGGGAACAAAGCGGGCAGAGUUGAGUUUUCGGGGUGUUGUCCAGAGAGCAUUGACAAUGAAAAGGAAGACAAAGACAGAGGACUGGGAAGAUACUUAAAAACAUCUUAUUUAGUUUGAUGUAUAAUUGGUAACAAGCUCCACUGCUUUGGGGAGGUUGGGAUUUAUAAUUUAACAAAGGAAUGAUAUUUAUUGACCCAGAAAUAGUUUUAGCACUAGGCUUUCGCAGGCCUGAUCGUUUCUUUGCUUCAGCCUUCGUAUUAGUAAAAAUACCCAAGGUUGUUGAGCCUCAAAUGUCGUGCAUCUGUUAAUUUGUUUAGGAAAAGAAGCUCAUAUGUUCCGGUCACUUGCUGAAAUGCCAACAUAGAGCUAUUUGUUCUUUACUUCCACGGUGUUAUUCAUACCAUGCUGUUAUUUUGGUUGUUACAGGUUUCCUUUUGCCUGUUAAAGUCUUGAUGCCAGAAUCAUUAGCAAUGCUCCGAAAGCUGGCCAAAGGAUUGUCAAAGAAGUUUCUUUAGCUCUUCAACAAUUUUCUGGGGACAUUAAGGAGGGCCCCAGCACAGGAGAGCAAAACUUACUGGAAGUAGAUUAUUUCUUUUCUUUAACAAUCAUGUCUGGAGACUCAUAUUGCAAAACUUUGCGUGGGAAUUAGUGCAGAAGGUAGAGACGUACCUAGGCAGCUAGAGGUGGUUGUUCAGGCUUGUGAUUCUUUGUAACCUAAUAUAACUUGAUUCCCGUGUAUCAUUUAUAUAGCUUAUCCUUGAGCUCUCAUGGACCAACUCUAAUUAGGCAGGAUUAGAGAUUCUGUGAACUUAGCUGAGGCAUGCAUCAAGUGUCCAUAGCUCUGACUUCAACUAUAAUCAUACUAGGAAGCUUCAGCGCGGCGCCACGCCGCGCCCGUGGGCGAUUAUUGCAAGAGGCAUGUGGUGUCAUUGUUAAAUUAUUUAUGUAUAUUACGGUAAUAGUAUUUCUUGCCAAGGAAUUAACCAUUUUUAAUGGUAGGUAAUUAUGAGCAUGAAAAAUAGUUAGUUAGAUGUAAAACUCAUUUAGGCAAUUAGCAAUCUACUCAGUCGAUGAAGAUAUUGUUCUAAUUUUUUUUUGCUAAAUUUUAUGUAGCACAUCCUUCAUCAAGAUGCUGUUACCUUUUAGUGUAUAUCCUUUGCUUUAGAUUCGAAAGUUAAAUUAAAAAGAAACUUGAACCUGUGUUUCUUCCGUGUUGUGAGAAACAUCAUUGGAGUUCACACAGCUAUGUCAAAUACAAUUUUUUUAGGGUAAGUUUAGUGGAAAUGUACGCAAGCAUGCUUAAGUUAACAUUUUGUAAUCAAUUAUCUGUUAUAGGCAACUGCUCUAGACAAUGUCGAGCGUGAGCAGUUUCUAUUGUAUUUUGGGAGGUCAACAAAUGAAUCACAUUAGUUAAUUAAAUGACUUAAAGUUAAAUAUGUCUAAUUUACUCUCAACCUUAUAACUUGUGUUGGCAAACUAUAGUAUAAACAAAGUUGCAUUGUGUUCCUGAAGUUUUCAAGUAACGCACUUUUGAAACUAUAUUUAGAGAAAAAAACGAAGGUGAAUUUGUUAAUAUAUAUGUUGGUUGGUAAAGAUAUUAACACCUAUAUGCAGCGCCAGCAUGGUCGCAGGAAGCAGGAAAACAAAUACUGGCCCAAGCUUUUGCCACGAAACCUACCGGGCUCUCUUUCGAGCGACCACCAGCGCAGGCGCAGCCUCUCCCGAGCCUCUCUGGAACCCUACAUUGUAGCCUCACCCCUGAAAUCCAGCCGCCGUCGGGCAGUUGACCAUAGAUCGCUGCCGUCGGGCAGGUGACCAUGGAUCGGCGCUCCUCUCCACCUCCCGCGACGGUCCGUCGCGGCCGCCACGUCUUCUCCCCGCGGCUCGGUCGCAACGGCGUUCACAGGAAGGAUCUGUUUUGGAGUAUGUUGGCGGCGCGCGGCGGCAUGAAAAUACGCUUGCCGGCUUGGAUGGCCACCGCGUUGGCACGCGGACUACUCCUCUUGUGAGGCGAGGAGGACGAUGCGCGGAAGUAUUGGACAUCCACUCCUUCCCGGAUCCAGUGGCUGCGAUUAGUGGUAUUGUCCGCGACCAUGGCGGCCCCCAGCGGUCAAGCUCGUCCGCGUGCGUGGCAACACCCGCGUACAUUCGUCGCCGGCGAGCAAUUCCAGCUUCGUGUGACACUUUUUUGAAGCAUGCUAUGCACAAAAGAAGGAAAGGCCGGUCUCCAACGGUUCGAGAGAGAAACAACCGGAUGGCACAUGGAGGAGAGGGAAUAUAGCUAGGUGGUCACUGGGAGUGAAACUAUUACCGGAGGAAACUGGUGCAGCCGGAUAUAGCAAUGCGUCCUCCCUCUCCGAUCCAGCGGCAGGGUUCAUGCCCACCAUCUUGCAGUAUAUGUAGGUACUGUAGGAAGCACCGGCGGGCCAUUCGUACAUCCAGUGGGGAGAAAAAAUAACAACCAUGUGGCCACCGGAAGAGAGAAGUCAUCCACCGGAAGAGAAGGUAGAGAGACCUACCAGGUCUGACCGGAAGACAUAUGAGCAAAAGAGAGAGGGAGAACCGGUUGGAACCGGUAUCCAAGAUGGAGGUGGUGGGGUCGGGAAGAUGGGGCCCAUGGACGGUCCUGCAGAGUCCAGAGCUUUUGUGCGCAGAAAUAAGCCACGUGUAGCACUCUUUUAGUGGAAGAUGUUGCUUUGAAGAGGUUCAAAUCAUUCAAGAACAAUGUGAAACAGGUCUCCAAGAUGGGGAAUGUGAAACAUCUUUUAGUGGAAGAUGUUGCUUUGAAGAGGUUCAAAUCAUUCAAGCACACGCGGCCUCCGUCCCAAAUUAUUU